rnacentral:rRNA from 1 species
GAUGAACGCUGGCGGCGUGCCUAAUACAUGCAAGUCGAGCGAACAGACGAGGAGCUUGCUCCUCUGACGUUAGCGGCGGACGGGUGAGUAACACGUGGAUAACCUACCUAUAAGACUGGGAUAACUUCGGGAAACCGGAGCUAAUACCGGAUAAUCUAUUGAACCGCAUGGGUCAAUAGUGAAAGACGGUUUUGCUGUCACUUAUAGAUGGAUCCGCGCCGCAUUAGCUAGUUGGUAAGGUAACGGCUUACCAAGGCAACGAUGCGUAGCCGACCUGGGGGGGUGAUCGGCCACACUGGAACUUAGACACGGUCCAUACUCCUACGGGAGGCAGCAGUAGGGAAUCUUCCGCAAUGGGCGAAAGCCUGACGGAGCAACGCCGCGUGAGUGAUGAAGGUCUUCGGAUCGUAAUACUCUGUUAUUAGGGAAGAACAAAUGUGUAAGUAACUAUGCACGUCUUGACGGUACCUAAUCAGAAAGCCACGGCUAACUACGUG